CGCACCUCUUCUCCAGCGCGCACGCCCCCUCCCGCGGUCCCGGGGCUCCCCUCUGCGCACGCCUCCUCCCUGGAGGUGCUCUUCCGCCUCCUGCACCGCGCGCUGCACCACCCGCGCCUACCGCUCGCUCGACCUCCAACUCCGACUCGCGGCAACCGACGCCUCCUCGGCCUUCCGCGCCGACCACCAUCUCAAGAGCCUCCUCAGGCAGGAACCAUUGUCCCGGCUCCCUUCUUCGUAAGGCCCGGCGGCCAGGCUCCCGCCAGACGCAUCUCCGACAGGGCCGGUGGCCCGGCUCUCAUCUGCAUUCGGCACUGUGGCCGAGACUCCAGUAGGACCCCGUUUGCAGGAAACCAUCCGGUUGAUGUCCAAUCAGCACUCCCAAUUGUCAAGCAAGGAUGCUCCUGAUGACAAGUCGAUGGGAAUUUUUAGUAGGGGAAACAUCUAGAUACGAACCACUAGAUAGGUUUAGACCUGUAGUAUCUUAUUGGAAUUGCUGAUUUUCUUGAUAUAGCAUGCACAUAUGCAUGGGUAUGGUACUGCUAUCGCUCAGACUAUGGAGAGCAAUCCAUGAUUCAGGUGGAGUUAUUCUUGACCAUUUUUUUCCUGGUUUAUACCAGUUGCGAUCACCAUUGAUACACACCUAUCCAGCCAGAUGGGCAAUGUUCAAUUGUGUUUUCAUGUAAGUAUUUCCCAUGCUAUGAUCAAAUACUAGCGCUGGUGGAAGCUAUGGGAUUUCCUUGCAAUGUGCAAGAUGAACCUCUCUAUCAGUGGCGGCAAUGUUCCCGUCAGCAAGGUACAUGGGAUCCACUAAGGCAUGAUCCUUUCCCCUUUUUCUUACAUUAUCAAAUCUGGAUGUCACUUGAUCUUGAAUCAGUAAUUAACUAUCCAUCACAUAUUAGGAUUGAAGUAUCUGUUCUGCUAUAAUUCAUUCAGAUAUGUGCAUUGGCUUUUGUUUCAGAGAAGUUUCGAUCUACUUCCAUCAGCAGUCCAUUGGUGGAUCUCUUUGUGGCUAUUAUCUAUCAGCCUGCCAAUAUUGUAUUUGGUUAGCAAUUGUAGACUGCAGGAUGGGUGAAGCAGACGCUUAAUUAAGUUGAGGAAUGGCAUCCAAGAUUUAUCCCCUUCACGAUCAGAGCCCUUCCCACACAACUUGGGGUGUCAGCUCUGUUUACUGGUAUUGAGGUAGUCUGCUUUUAUUGACAUAGCUGGGGAGCAUGAAUGUAGAAGCGGAGAAAGUUUAAGCUGGUACAAGAGUACUAAAAAAGAUUCGAGAAGUAACUGUUUUGACUUCCGUCAUAAUUCUAGCAGAUGAACCCCUGUUGUACUACGUGUUUCUAUCCGACCCAUAAGUAGUACGCAUGGACAGACCUAAAAUGAAAUUUGGCUUUACGCCAAAUGUAACAAAUCACCUUGGGUUUGGAAGAUAACUGUACUCGAUGCUCAUGUGUGAUAUUUGUUGUCUCAUGAGACACUUGGUUAUUUGUAAUUACCGAAUAUCACUGGUGAUGGGUCAAGUAGUCUAGGCCCUGACAGAAAAUGAUUUUUGAUUGUUUUGCAUAAGAUUUAUGUUUUUUUUUUCUCAUUCAUGGUUAUAUGUAGAUCAUAUACAGUAAGGUUCUCCGAAGUAUGUGUACAGUUAGCUUAUGUGUGAUCACCUACCAAAUCUCUGGUAAAUAAUACAUGGAAUCCACUAUAUUAUAUCAUAUUUUUAUCAGUUUGCCUAAAUUAAUGUGUUUGUUUCAGUAUAUUCUACAGGGAGCUCUAUUCUGUAGUGCUCUUUUCCGUUGGUAUCUUCCAUGAAAAACCGCCAUUGAACUAAAAGUAUGUCAAGCCAAUAUGAUCAUUGGUUAAUGCUUGCAUGUGAUGAUCGUUUUUAGUACAUGGAUAACUUGGACCUCGAUGCUUAUCUAUAUGUAAGUUCUCAUGCUCUUGACAACCCAAUAAUUUGAGACAAUAGGAAUAGGUUUUUGUGUUGACAGGAAAAAGGGAAAAUAAAUUGGUACUCUUUCUCCAAAUGAUCUUGAUCUUGAUUUGUUCUCAUUGUGAUAUUAGAGCUUCAUCAUUCAACGUCAAUUAUAGCAAAAUACUACAGUGGUCAUAUUCGUUUUUAGUUUUUGUUCUUUGAUGAGGUCUUAAUAACCAUGUAGAUAUAAGGAUUGGUUUACUCAUAUGAGAUUACUUAUGGCAUAUCACCACAAUUAGUAGAAAAUUUGAUCUCAUAAUUCACAUUUUUAUAAGUUCAAUUCUAUUCCAAGUGCGGUGUUUAUUACAGUUUUUUAUAUCUUAAGAUCAUAUAUUGACUUUGCAAGCAAAGUUAUUUAAUUUAUAUUAUCACGUGUGUACAACUAAGAGGUCCCGCAACAACGUGCGGGGUAUCAUCUAGUUUUUUUAAUUCCUCAUGUCUUUUAGGCAUUUUGCAUUUCUCACGUACACUCAAAUGCCCAAGCAAACGAAUAUAGUGUUCCCAAUAGCAAGCGCACAUGCAUACAUGUGACCCGAGAACAUGCUGGGUAAUUGAUUUUCUUUUUACUUGUGCGGUAGUUAUUAUGCUUAAGGGCCCACCCAAAUUAUCAGGUACAGUCGGAUUGGUUGGUUACUACUCUGUAUAGGGUAGGAACACAUCUUCCAUAUUGUUUUUUUGUGUGGAUUCUGAUUGUCUUUUUUUACUGGAGAAUUCCUGUUGCCUUAGUUUCUAAUGGAAUAUUUUUGCCUUUCUUACAGGAGGAUUCUGAUUUGGCUCCUAAUAUUACGUACAUGUUUCCUUUUCUCACGUACAUGGUGCAUUUUGGCAAUCGUGGCCUCGUGGGUUUCUCUAUCAUGCAUCUUUGGACCUGGUUCCUUUAAAUCUGAGCCGUUUCUUUUUAUGUGCUUAAUCUGAGCUGUUACUGUUCUGCUGUAUUAAUAAUAGAUUUAUAUAGCCCAACUACAAUACGGGCUACAUAUUUGUUGGAGGACAUAUGCUUUGUGGUGUCCUUUGUUUCUACAGUACGUGAUUGUUUCUUUCUAUGAGAAGUUUGUGAGCAACUAAGGAUACUUCCUAGGCAUAUUUCUUUUGGGCUGAUAUUUCAUGUCUAUCUGAUUGAUUUUCUUCUUCUUUUGUGAAGAUAAGUUUUCUAGUACGUACAUGUGAUCUAUUAAUUUAUACGUGGCAUGUUUCUUUUUUCUAUGGAAAGAUCUGUCUGUAGGUUUCUCUUUCCUUCUCUUUGCUUAGUGUACAUGUACGUGUCCAUAAUAGACUUAGUUUGGAUGCGUCAUAUCAAUCCGGCCGGAAGCUGAUGGUCUCGUGUCCGAUGGUAACACCUAUUCCUAUAUACGUAUAACUUUUUUUCCUUCCUUUUCUUCGUUUGAAUAUAGUAACACUUUUUC